UCACGACUUUGCCAAACACGGCAUAGCCCCAGCCUUGCAUGCUGGGUGCUUUGUGGUUCAAAAACUCGUUGUCAGCCA
rnacentral:tRNA from 1 species